AUGUUCAUAAGCAUGGAGCCAUCGCCUUUGACAGACAAGAUCGAUCGGUGGUUCGGCGACUUGCUUGAUGGUCUAAGGGCAUACCCCUUUGAUUUUCCAGGGACAGCGUCUCACGGCGCUCGAAAGAGUCGCCGGAAGCUAGACGCGAUCUUCCGAGAGGAGCUGGAGGCAAGGAAGAAGGUGGACAGGCAAUGCGAUGAUCUAAUGGGCGGUCUGAUGCAGAUGAAGGACGAGCAGGGAAAGAAGUUGAGUAAUGAGGAGGUGGUGGAUAACAUUGUUUCCCUUGUCAUCGCCGGCUACGAGUCCACUACCAUCGCCAUCAUGUGGGCUGUCUACCACCUCGCAAAAUCCCCCGUCGUCCUUGCCAAGCUUCGAGAGGAGAAUAUAGCGAUGAGCAAAAGCAAAGGCGGGUCGACGUCAACGAGUUUGAUGAUCACCCACACCGACAUCCCAAAGAUGAAGUACACGGCCAAGGUGGUGGAGGAGACAAUCCGGAUGGCCAACAUCGCCCCCAUGGUCCACCGCGUGGCAAACAGAGACGUGGAGUACCGCGGCUAUACCAUACCGAAGGGUUGGGCUGUGCUGGUGUGGUUGAGAUCCUUGCACACUGAUCCCAAUUACUACGAGGAUCCCCUCUCCUUCAAUCCUAACAGAUGGGAUGAACCGGCUAAGGCAGGAACAUAUCAGGUGUUUGGAGGUGGCCCUAGGGUCUGCGCAGGCAACAUGCUUGCCAGGCUACAGGUCACCAUCAUCCUGCAUCAUCUCUGCGUCGGCUACGAAUGGGAGUUGCUCAAUCCUGAUGCAGAGAUCAAUUACCUUCCACACCCAAGGCCAGCGGAUGGUGCAGCCAUGGCCUUUUGUAAGCUUAGCACAUGA
rnacentral:rRNA from 1 species